GGGGGUGAUUGGUUUCGACCCCGGGUGUUGACGCAGGAGAAGCGAGCCGAGGUCCCCACAGUCCUCGUUAAUCAGGUGGGAAAACAACAAUAAGCGCCGACGAAAAUGUCGCGCUGGCUGCCUAACUAGCAGCCCGUCCUCCGGUUUGUGCCCGUCGGGCCGGUCAGGGCGACGUUUACGGGCUUACCUGCACGAGUCCGCUCGGCACUCUGUUACAGGGAAAUUUGAGCUGAGCUGGACCCGCACCCGGCGCCGUCAGAGGGUGUGUGGUUGAGAUUGCUCCUGGCGGCUGCGCUCGGAGAUGCUCUUGCCGAUGCCCCGGGGGACGCGGGUUCGAGUCCCGCCACCUCCACGA
rnacentral:tmRNA from 1 species